UAAAAGAUAUUUAUGUAACUGACUUAUUUCUAUUUAAGAAUUGUUUUGUAUUACCCAAGAGACUAUGAAUAUCAGGGCAGGCAAAAAUCUCACUUCCUCAAGGAAGGUCUGUGAGAGAUGUCAAGAUAGCUGUGCAAGGGACUGUCAUUCUUCACACAGGUGGCUCACCAAGGUAGAAAUAACCAUUAAUAGCAAUUUCCCCUGCAGCCAGGCACAAACCUAUAUACAGAGCCUGAGGGAGUGACACGUUUUACUACUGCUGAAGAGGGAAAUUCAACUCCUGGGCAGAUUCCAGUUUUAGAACGGAGAGAGUCACUCUGAGCGGAGGCAGGGCAUUUUCUGGCCUUUGUUUUGUUUUGUUUUUAAAUACCCUCCAGCCUUCUAACAAUCUUCGCAUGCAUGCCCCAUCGCAGGGAAAUCAGGGCACAGUGGGAAGCCUCAGCGGACCUCCAGGUUGCUAGGCAACAUGCUCCCCUUCCCCAGCGCAGCUAGAGGAGAGCCAGGGUAGGCGCCAUGCCUCUACCCACCCCAGGUGCCAGAGCUCAUUAGCCCGCUCAGAGGUCCCUCUCAAAAUGUCCAGGAAAAGGAACUGAGAUUUCUUCUCAACCUUGACAGUGUGGGACCCAAAAGCCAUCAAAGCCUUCUUCUGUACAGUAUGCUUUCUUUUCCUUGAUAAGAAGGUAUCUCUCAAUGUAUCCUUGCCUGUCUUAGAACUCUGUAGACCAGGCUGGCUUCGAACUCACAGAGAUCCGCUUGCCUCUACUUUCCAAGUGUCGGGGUUAAAGGUGUGUGCUACUACAUCUGGCUUUUGCAGGCAUAAGUACGCACUGAAAUUAAGCCGUCUACAGGAUUUUCGAGCAACUACUCUGAGGCCAGGAAAGGACCACCUUAUCCUGUCCCAGUGAUAGAGGACAUCAGCCAUGACACAGAGACAGCAGGAGAAUCUGCCUGCUGCAGAAGGCAGGAGGCCAUCGGCUUACAAAGAUUACCCUCAGAUGUCAGACUUAACAUCUUCUUCAGCUCUGAAGAAGUGAUUCUGGACCCUAAAGAAGGGUGAUCAGGAAGUGGACUUUCUGGAGGUCAGAGUGGACUUUGUCUCCAUCCAUCCCUGACUCGAAUGGAUCCUCACCACCUUCCACUCUGAGAACCGGGUCCCUCCAGCCCCUACUCCCGGUGCUGAGUCAAGGUCCACUUCACAGCUGGCCUUAUCAUUCCCUAUGAUCCCCGCUGGAAUCGGCUAGUUGGAUCUCCUGGGACUGCACUGGCGUGUUACCAUGUGCUGAGUGUGAUUGUGGUUGGGUGCUGUGGUGCCAGGCCAUGUGUGACUCAGAAUCACUGUGUAAUUGUGUGAAGCUGGGUCUGAUUACGCCCAGGAGAAAUGGUUGAUUGUACAUGGUUCCAUCUCACUGUGUGAUUUGUGAGAUUGUAUGCUACAGCCCGUGAAUACUUGUCUGUGGUUACGUGUGUUCCAAGUGGCUGUGUGGCUGAGUACAGUAUGUGAUGGAUGUGUCUAUAAGUAGCCGUGUGUAGGUGGGUGGGGCUUCAUGCCAUCCCAAGGCCCAGACCCGAAGAGAUCACUGUCUGCAGUCUGUAUACUGUGGUAGGGAAGAGGAGGUAAAGAGCGUGUGUGUGUGGUGGGGGGGGGAUGCUCUUCCCCUGGGUCACUGACCAUUUUUAGAGUGUUUUCUCGGAAGUCAGACUGUGCUUCGGAGGAAUGCCAGCCCAUCUGAGCUCUCACAGCAACUGGCCCCUGGGCUCACAAUGUCUCAUUAUAGCCCUCAUCCGGCCGGGCCCAGGCUGCUUUCCAGCCCAGCAGAGACACACAGCCCUUAUCUCUCAGUCUGGCCACCUCUCUCCAUUCUUCCCAUACCUAUUCUGGCUGCAGAAGAAACAUAGGCACCUCGUUUCCCCACUUCCCAACCCUGAAGACAGACUUUCCAAGAGCUGACCGCUAGCUCUUUCAGGGAUGACAAAAGCCUUCCCCGCAAUGGAUUUGCGAUGCUUCCCAUGUUUGCACGAAAAAGAAGAAAGAGGAAGAGAAUGGAGAUGAGGAGGAGGAGAAGAAAGAGGAAGAAGGACCCACUUUUAACUUUGUCCUCAGUUAAGGAUGCCGGACAACCCACCCAACUUUCUCAGGCCUCAGUUUCCUACUCUGUUAAAGAAAUGAAGGAGAAUCACAAGUCUCAACGUCAGGACUAGAAAGAACUAAUAUCCAAAGAGAAUGACAGGCAAGCCCCACAUGGCCUGUAACUGCUGGGCUUAGUGGCGCCAGAUAGAUACACUGUCUUUGGCUUUUGACCUGUGGAAUCGGUCUGCAUCAAUGACCCUCAUGUGCUCCAAAGCAGAACCUUGGGGAGCCCAAAAAUCCCUUCAAGAUGCAGCCGCUUCUCUGCACCGAUGCUUGAAGGCAACCAGUAAGAACAGCAGAGGUCGCAGUCUCCAGCAGGCCUGGAUUCAAUUCCUGCUCUGCUAGUGACAGCCUGGGACUGCAACCAAGGAUCCCGCUGAUGGAGCUGCUGUUACUUCCCUUGCAGCCUGACAGAUCAAUAGCCUGAUCAGUGUUGCCCAAGGGGGCUCGGAAAGUGCAAUCAGGUAGCUUGCAGGGUGCUACAGAGAAGGAAGAAGUCAACACACACUCCAGGGGAUUCCAGAAAAAAAAAAAAAAAAAGGAAACAAUGUUUUGAGAAUCUUGAGGACUGGGUGACUCUAAAAGUCUCCCCAGGCCUUGGCUGUGUGGCUAUUGGGGAAAAUUCUCGCAGGCGUCUAACAAAGCAUGUGUGGCCGGUGGUGGCUGCCGGUGACGUUCAAUGACCUAAAGUAAAUAAACCAGUAAUCAGAGGGUGCUCUUGCUUGGCUGCUGCGGGCUUGCUUGCCCACGAGUCAUAAUAAUUUGUUGGGAUAAUACAUCGGCCGUUAGCCCUCAAAGUCCUGUUACUAAGAGGUUAGGAGACAGAUGAUCUUCCCAAAAAGAAAAACCACUACAGGAUGUUCCAGAUUGGAGCCACGGUAGCAGCCCAAACAGCAUGGACUUGUGUUGUUGAUAAACUCUUAUAAAAGAGUUUGGGCAUGGAGUAACUGGGAAGUAGCCCAACUCUACACAUCACAGGCUUGCCAGUAGAAUAUUAUAAACUCAGCUUGGCGGUAGGAUGAUAUAAUACCUUCAUUAUUUCAAAGGUUCUUAAAUUAACCAAGGUGCAUCUUUCGGAGGUCCAUUGUUUUGCGUGUAUUUAUGACCAUCUCGAGGCCACAUUUGGUUUCAGGAGUGACUAAGUCUACCAAGCUGUAACCACCCUUGCUUGGCCCUGGGCCUGUUUGUGAUAAUUCAGUGACUUCACACAGCCAUUCCCAGCCACCUCCGUUAUGGCUUCGUUACUGGAGCAACAGGAACCAGUCAACCAACAGAAUCCAGGUUAGAGCAGAACAGAAGGAAGUCGGCAAACAGGACUCUUGCCGGGGCAGGCAGUCACGUGACGCCAGCCUACCACACUUUGCGCAUGCGGUUUUCCUGGGAAGACACAGUCAUUCUUCUGCUUUCCGCCUCACCGAAGGAAGCCUUUUAGGUCGCCCCUAAGUGGUCUCAGUCACUGACUAGAGGAAAGGAGCUGUCCCCUUUUACGCUGGCCUCUCUCUUGAAUUGGCACCCCAGCAGCACGAUGCCAGCCUUGGACUUGCUGAGUUCUCCCAGCCUCCGCACCACCCCACUGUCUGCCACGGUUGCUCUGCUAGCUUUCUGGCUAGGUCCCUGGCUGCAGAGACCUCAUGUGCCGUUUCCAUCUUGUAGUUGACACAGAACACCCACAGUCUUCUCUCUUCUCGCAGGGGUGGGGCUCAGAGCUGGGGAGAGAGACCAGAGUCUAAGUCACCCGACAGUAAGUCAGGAGACCGGCUCAUGUCACCUCGCCUUAGGUCCCAGUCUUGGCUGUUUGAGAGCGCCAAGCACCUUGUGAUGUGUGACACUGGACAGUCCGAUGUUGCAAUGCUUCCUAGGCAAGGGUCAGAGUUUCCAUAGACUGACCCUGGUGACCUUCAGUCACUGUGUGAGACACGGAGGAGGGGGCAAGGCUGUGGGAACGCUAUCCUCCUACCUUCUUCCCAGGGUAGGGGCAGGAGGGCACAUGCCAAGCAGGCUUAGAAUUUAUCUGGGCCGGGGACUGGACAGAGUGUUUCACCUGCUGUGCGGUUUCUUACUUCCCUUUUGGGGCCGUCUGGGAGGAAUGCUUGACAUUAGUUAUAGUGGUUAGGAGGCUGUGUGGGGAACACUCAACAAACGCCAGCAGCCAUCGCCAGCCCAGCCAUGGGAUGGUCAUUCUUACCCCUCCAUCCUCAUCUGGAUCUGCCAAGUGGUCUACAUGUGUGCAGAAGGCUGGUGCUACUGCAGGGGCAUUAUAACCCUGGUGGUGACAGGACGGUGCCAUGCAUGAGGCGCUUCUGGUAACAGAGACAUUUCCCAAGGUUCCCGAUCCCUAGUUUUCAGAAGCAGGCCUGGAAGGAUGAAGAAGCUGCUUUGUGGCUUGCUAUGCUUGGCCAAACACAUGUGCAUCCAAGCGGCUGGCCAAGGCUGGAAUUCCCCGCGAGCAGCCUGCCCAGGCUCACUCCUCGG